GCAAGGACAACUGGGACAAACAUUUUAGAC
rnacentral:piRNA from 1 species